rnacentral:lncRNA from 1 species
CUCACAUGGCAUAGCUCAAGUAGGCAACAAGAUUUACUCUUUUGGUGGUGAGCUCAUACCAAAUCAGCCCAUCGAUAAACACCUUUACGUCUUUGACCUCGAGACCCGGACUUGGUCCAUUGCUCCAGCCACCGGAGACGUUCCACACCUCUCUUGCUUAGGUGUCCGUAUGGUGUCAGUAGGAUCGACCCUCUAUACCUUUGGAGGCCGAGACUUUUCACGCCAAUACAACGGUUUCUACUCGUUUGACACGACAACAAACGAGUGGAAACUGCUAACUCCGGUGGAAGAAGGACCCACUCCUCGUAGUUUCCAUUCGAUGGCAGCGGAUGAGGAAAACGUUUACGUUUUCGGUGGAGUGGGUGCUAUGGAUCGAAUCAAGACACUAGACUCUUACAAUAUCGUUGACAAGACGUGGUUUCAUUGUUCGAAUCCAGGAGAUUCCUUUAGCAUAAGAGGAGGAGCAGGGCUCGAAGUGGUGCAAGGGAAAGUAUGGAUUGUGUAUGGAUUUAACGGAUGUGAAGUAGAUGAUGUUCAUUUCUACGAUCCUGCUGAAGACAAAUGGACACAAGUGGAAACAUUCGGUGUGAAGCCUAACGAAAGGAGUGUUUUCGCUAGUGCGGCUAUUGGGAAACACAUUGUGAUAUUUGGAGGUGAGAUUGCGAUGGAUCCACGAGCUCACGUAGGUCCGGGUCAAUUAAUCGAUGGGACUUUCGCGUUGGAUACAGAGACGUUGCAAUGGGAGAGGUUAGAUAAGUUUGAGGGGACUCCGAGUAGCAGAGGAUGGACCGCGUCCACGACUGGAACCAUUGAUGGUAAGAAAGGACUUGUGAUGCAUGGUGGUAAAGCUCCAACCAAUGACCGGUUUGAUGACCUCUUCUUUUACGGAAUUGACUCUGUCUGAUUAAGCGCGAUUUGAUCAUGACCGUUUGUGUUUUAUUUGUUUGUGUGUCUGUGUGUCUGUGUGAUGCAAUAAGGGAGGGAUCGUGAUACCUCUAUAUGAUCCUUCGUCAGCUUAUCCAUUUUAUUUUUUAUUUUCUAAAUGUAUCUUUUUGUUUUUUGUUUUCUGUUUUGUAUGUUUAAUGUUUCGUGGCUUGUUCAAUAAGAUGUUUAUUUUCCGAAUUUUUUUUGGGUAUGUUACGUUAUACUACAAACAAAAAUAUUAUGAUUUUGAUUUUCUCUAAAGAUGAAAUGAAUAGAACAAGAAGUCAGCAGAUAGGGUGGUUUCAUCUACUUUUGUGGUUGGUAAAUGUGGUUAGAAAAAUUUGCAUUGAAUUGUAAGUUUCUAUCCAUAAAAGAAACAAAAAAUUAAUGUAAUCAAGAGUGGAAAGUUACCAAUGGAUUAUAAAAAUCUUGCAAUUCUAAUAAAUCCUCAUGUCAACGGUACAGAUAAGAUAAGGGUAAGGGGCAAACAAUCUUGUUGGUUCAAAUGGCAAGUAAACAAGGGCAAUUAUAUCCACCUAAUCCAUUGCGUUUUCUUUCUCUAAUCUUAGAAUCUACUUUAAUUGUAUGUUUUUCUCUUUCAUCUACUUUCCAAAACUAUAUAACCUCAUUUCUAUACUUUUUAUGCAUUUAUUUUGAAACCCCUUUAUCAAAAAAAAAAAAGGGGCCAAUUUUUCUUCAAAAAUGGUUACUUUAAGAUUCUCAUAUACAGUGUGCCAAAAAAAAAAAAGGUACCUAAAAUAUUUAUUAUUUCAGAUAUUGGUCAACAUAUUAUCUGUAACAGAAAAAUGUUCACGUGAUAUUUGCGAAUCACAUUUUUCUAGGGGCAAAAGUGAUAUAUGAGAAUCUUAAAGUAACCUUUUCUAGAAUAAUUGCCCUUGUUUACUUGCCACUGUAGUCAUUUAUUUAAUUUAUGUUCAAAAACAGAUUACCUACCUAAUUCACCGAAACGAAAAAUUUUGUUGCCAGUUUUUGUUUUUUUUAAUUUUUUUUUUCCUCUUUUUAGUUUACCUUCUCUUUUUUCUGUUCAACAUUAAACUAGAAGGUAGAGUAAUAAAUAACGAUGGAUGGAUGUGUUGAAAACGCGCUUUAUGCAUGAUUCAUACGAGAGCAGCUGAGGAGGAGACAAAAAACGGGUCUACACUAUAUCAGACUUUUUUUUGUUUUUUUGGUGUAAAACUAUAUCAGAUGGAAAAAUAUCAACCAAAUAAUGUAGAAACUAUAUCAAACUUUUAACAAAACUAUCAACCCAAUAUUUUAUAUUUUAUUAAAAAACAAUACUAAUAAUUUUUCCUUUUCCUCGUUUUUUUUUUUCUGAUCAACCAUUCACACGUUGUUUUUCGUAAUUAUGAUUCUGCAUAAUGCUUUCUCUAAAUCAAAAACUCCACGCCACGGUUCAACUGAUGUAGUGCCUCCACCGUUGUCGUUUGACUCGUUGCAGAGGACACCAUUAUGCACUUCGAUUCAUUUUCAAAAUCGUCUUUCUCUACUGAAUUGUUACUCCAUUUAAUUUUUUGGUCCAUAGAUAACAUAGACCAUUAUACUAGUAUGUUAAAUGUAUACUUAUCAGUUACCGCACAACAUUAAUUCUUAAAGAGGGUUCAUUUUCGAGAAUUGAGUACAACACUACCAUUAGGCCAAAAUGCGAGAGGCAAAAAAAGAUAUAGCAUAUACUUAUCAUGAAUAAUGAAAAUCUUUUCCAUCCAAAUAAAAAUCUUUCUUCUCAUAAAAGAAAGAAGAGAAAAAACAAUGAGUUUGCAUAUCUUUAUCCUGUAGAAUGAUAAUCUUCCCCAUCAACUACUGUAGAUCGUCAACGUGUACUCACUUCCAUUAUCGAUCGAAUCAUCAAUUUAAUGCCUCGUGAAUCACGAGAUCAUAUAAUAUGACAAGAAAUUCGUCCCGUUUAUCUACUGCUGGUCAAUAAAUACUCAUGCAAUUCCCACCAAUAGAUCACUCAACCAAUUUCUUCUCAGGUUCUCUCUUCACACCUCUCCCCUUCUCUAUGAUUAUAGAUAGUAUAUGAUUUGGUUAAAUUAUCUAUAUUUCUUUUUUGAUAAAGGAUUUGGUUAAAUUUUUAAUUGCAGGUAAUACUCGUAAGAUUUAUCAACACAAGCAAAAAAGAUGGCCCAAAAGCUAGAAGCAAAGGGUGGUGAGAUGGGAGAUGUAUGGGAUGAUGGUGUUUACGAAAAUGUUAGAAAGGUAUAUGUAGGGCAAGCACAAUACGGUAUAGCCUUCGUCAAGUUUGAGUAUGUCAAUGGUUCUCAAGUGGUUGUUGGAGAUGAACAUGGAAAGAAGACAGAGCUAGGAGUUGAAGAGGUACUAAAAUAGAUUUUUUUUUUUUUUUUUUUUUUUUUUUUUUUUUAGUCAAAAGGUACUAAAAUAGAUUUAUAUGUUGUGAUUGAUCAAGAGGUAGGGUCUUUUUUUUUUUUGUUGCUUUCCGCAUUGAAAAUUGCUUGGUUUCUUUGCAGUUUGAGAUUGAUGCGGAUGACUACAUCGUAUACGUGGAAGGUUACCGUGAGAAAGUUAACGAUAUGACGUCAGAAAUGAUCACGUUUCUUUCUAUUAAGACUUUUAAAGGCAAAACCUCUCAUCCUAUCGAAAAAAGACCUGGGGUUAAGUUUGUGCUACAUGGUGGAAAAAUCGUUGGGUUUCACGGACGUUCAACAGAUGUUUUACACUCCCUUGGGGCCUAUGUUUCUUUGUCAUCCACUAUCAAAUUGCUUGGGAAGUGGAUUAAGGUAAUAAUCUCUUAGACCAAUCCAAAAACAAAAAUAAAAAAUUAUCUCACAUAAAUAUGUUGUUAUUGUUACCACCGCAAAAUCACUAAAUCACUUACGAGAAAGAAAAAAUGAAGAAGAAAAGAGGGUUGAAUUUGGAAUUCAGAUAAUGACACUUUUAAAAUUUAUAAUUUUAUUAAAUUUAUCUUAUGGGAGUUCAUUAAUCAGAUAAAUAAUUUCUUUAAAAAUAACUAAAAAAUAUUACUCAUAGGUGGAGCAAAAAGGAGAAGGUCCAGGGCUAAGAUGCUCACAUGGCAUAGCACAAGUAGGCAACAAGAUUUACUCCUUUGGUGGCGAGUUCACACCAAAUCAGCCCAUCGACAAACACCUUUACGUCUUUGACCUCGAGACCCGGACUUGGUCCAUUUCUCCAGCCACCGGAGACGUUCCACACCUCUCUUGUUUAGGUGUCCGGAUGGUGUCAGUAGGAUCGACCCUCUAUGUCUUUGGAGGCCGAGACGCUUCACGCCAAUACAACGGUUUCUACUCGUUUGACACGACCACUAACGAGUGGAAACUGCUAACUCCGGUCGAAGAAGGACCCACUCCUCGUAGUUUCCACUCAAUGGCAGCCGAUGAGGAAAACGUUUACGUUUUCGGUGGAGUGAGUGCUACGGCACGACUCAAUACACUAGACUCUUACAACAUCGUUGAUAAGAAGUGGUUUCAUUGUUCGACUCCAGGAGAUUCCCUUACCGCAAGAGGAGGAGCAGGGCUCGAAGUGGUGCAAGGGAAGGUAUGGGUUGUGUAUGGGUUUAACGGAUGUGAAGUAGAUGAUGUUCAUUACUACGAUCCUGUUCAAGACAAGUGGACACAAGUGGAAACAUUCGGUGUGAGGCCUUCCGAAAGAAGUGUAUUCGCUAGUGCGGCUAUUGGGAAACACAUUGUGAUUUUUGGAGGUGAAAUUGCGAUGGACCCGCUAGCUCACGUGGGUCCAGGUCAAUUGACCGAUGGAACUUUUGCAUUGGACACAGAGACGUUGCAAUGGGAGAGGCUGGAUAAGUUUGGUGGAGAGGAAGAGACUCCGAGUAGCAGAGGAUGGACCGCGUCCACGACUGCUACCAUUGAUGGUAAGAAAGGACUUGUGAUGCAUGGUGGUAAAGCUCCAACCAAUGACCGGUUUGAUGAUCUCUUCUUUUACGGGAUUGACUCUGCCUAAUUAAGGCAGAUUUGGUGAUCAUGAACGUUUGUGAAUGUGUGUGUGUGUGUGUGGGUCUGUGUUUGUGUGUGUAAUAAGGGAGGGGUAUACCACCAUAUGAUCCUUCCCCAGCUUGACCAUUGUUUUUUUUUUAAUAUGUUUUUCUUUCUACAUGUUUGUUUCACGUUUCAUGUUGUAUCCAAUAAAUUGUGUACUUUCCUAGUAGUAAUCGCCAGAAAAAAAAAAAAAAAAAAAAAACCUAGUAGGUAGAGUCAUAGCUUACAAUUAAAUAAAUAACGAUGGAUGUGUUGAAAACGCGUUUAUGCAUGAUUCAUGAAUUGUAUAUACGAGAGCAGCCGAGGAGGAGAUAAAGAGAGGGGUCUACAAUGAUCAAUACUAACUUAAUUUUGUAGUGUUGUCAGUCAAUAAUGUAUACCUAUCAAAAUGGGGCCUAUAUUCCAUCACUAGUGAGUUCGUCAGUCAAUAAUGUAUUUUCCGACACUUAAAAAACGUUCCAAAUCAUAAUACUUAUAAUUAUAACCAGAUAAGUUUUACUGAAUCCCAGACUAAUUCUCAAACUUUGCUAUCAUGUUAUUAACAAACAUUACAAUGUAGAGAAAUAUGGAUGCCCUAGUUUCAACUAACACGAUGAAUCAUGUCAAUCACUGUAUAAAUAGUUAAUAAGUUGUGACUUUUUUUUUUGUCGGCUAAUAAGUUGUGACUUUAGGCACCGUCAAUAUUCAACUGUAAUUAUAAUCGUAUAUAAUAAGUGAUUAUAUCUGUCAAAUAUCAUAUAUAACAAAUAAUAUAAUUGUAUGUAUAUAUAUUAUCUCUAUCAACUAUAAUCAUAUACAGAAAGAAAAAAAACAAGUGUUACAUCACGCUUAGCUUAAAAGUUUCGACUUUUUGCACCGUCAUAUUUCACGUGUAAGCAAGAAAUACAAAUGUAAAUAGAUUAUAAUUAAUGAAUUCUCUCGACUCUCUCAACAUAGUAUAUAAAAGGAAAUCUACACAUGAACCGUAUCUUUCUCACUUUUGAAAUAUUUUGAUGUUUUAAAGAAAUUUUUUCAAAAUUUUAUAUAAAUUAUAAAUUAAUUUAAUAUUUUUUGAUUAUUUAUAUUUUUCAUCAGUCUUGUUCAUAAUUGGUUGAAUUGUUUUAAAGUAAAUAUUUCUUUAGCUAAAACAUCUUAUACAAUUAAAAGAAAAAAGUGUAAUCAAAUAACCAAAUAUAAAUUAGUAUUUCAAAUUAUACUUAUUGCAGGGUGAUAAACCUUUUGUCCCAAGUGAAGUUAAACCUAUAAAUAUAUACCCCAUUUAGAGGGUCCUAUAUAACUAAAGUACCACAUAUUUGGUGGUUUAUAUCAUUCAAUUUUUUUGUAACUAACUUAAUAUUUGAUAUGUAAAAUCAUGUUAAAAUAGGAUCAGCAGAUAGAAUAUAUAAAAAAUAAGUCAUGUACAAACGUAACGUUCUUCAUAUCUUAGGUAACGUAUCUAACAAUUUUGUUAAAUAUUAUUAUUUUAAAAAAUUGAACAUAUUAUUUGGAAACUUUUCUUUUGAUAAUUUUGAAAUGGCACUUUGUAAUUAAGAGUUUAAUAAAGAACACGUCACACACAAAAACGAAGAAAGAGAUUAUAGAAAUUAAGUUGUGUUUUCAAUCUUCGUGUAUACAAAACAAAAAUAAAAAUUAGAAAUGAUAUUUCAUACGAUGUUGUUAAAUAAUAUAAUUAUGAAAAUUAGUUGUGCUUUAUAUUAUUAUUUUUGUUGGAAGCUCUAGAAACGAUCGACCUAAUAGUAUAUUUUUGUCACUAAAAAGUGUGAUUAAAAUAUAUAUAUAUAUAUAUAUAUAUAUAUAUAUAUAUAUAAUAUUGUAAUUUUCAACCAAUUCUCGGUUUAGGUGGUUUAUUAUUAUAUUGUUUUUUGAAAAAAUUAAAAAAUAUAUCCUUAUUAGUUCAUUCUUUUCUGGUCAUUCGUUCACACUUUACAACUUGGUUAAUGGCCACUUCUCAAGUUAUCGUUCUUUCAUUUGUUCUACAGUCGCAAGAAAUUAUCGUUCUUUCAUUUGUCAUUAUGCAUAAUGAUUUCUCUUUUCUUUUUAGUGCAUAAUGAUCUCACUACAUAAAAAAAUCUAUCUUACGAUUCAACUAUAUUUAGUCCCAUGCACUCGCUGCAUAACACAUUACUUUCUUCGAUUUAGAGUGAUUUUCACAACCUUGUUUCUGUAUUGUAUAUUUAGUUAGUGUUUGUGAUUACCAAAAAAAAAAAUUGUUUCUUCUUGGCUUAGUCUUUUUAUCUUUUUUUUUUUUUUUGCUUCAUCUAUUUUUCCUCCCAUGACAGAUGAAGACGGCAAGAGAUGCAGCAAAUCUCAUUUAUGAUCUAUCUGAAGAAUCAGCGUCAUCGAUUUGGAGACUCGAACCAUAACAAAAAGAGCAUCACAGUUUCAAUUUAAUUGCUCCUGGCGCUUCCUAUUUCAGCAACAAACAUUAAAUAAUUAAUCCAAUAGAGAUGAUAUAUAUGGAAAUUUCAAAACCAAAAAAAGAAACUUUCAAAACCAAAAUUGCGAAGCCAUAGAAAUCGUGGAUCAUGGAAUUGCGAAGACCAAUGUUGACAUAUGGGAAUUUGGUGUCCCAAUGAGCAGAGAUCACUAAGAUUGGUUUUCGGGAGGAACUUUUUGAGUUCAUGAUUUGAAGAAUUGUCUCGCCUAUAAGCUAUCGUCCAUAGUUUGAGAUUCAUGCGACAAGAAGAAGGUUUGAUUCACUUUCUCCAUUUAAUUGAAUCAUCUUCAUAGAUAUAUUUUCAUACUUAAUCAAUGUUUUUACCAAAAAAAUAAUGUUAUUUUAUUAUUUUGGUUUUAUGUGGUUUGGGAUUGGUGUAGAUUAUAAACCGAUUAAACCAAUGUUUUUGUGUUCUGAGAUUUCAAACUUUUGAACUAAAUAAAUAUACGUUUUGGGGAAUAUCCAAUAUCAAUAUGUAUCAUAGUUUGGACUCUAUCUAUUCCAGUAUGAUAAUUCCCGUGGAAAAAUAUAUCAUCGUCUCUAUUUUAUACAUGCACUUGCAACACAAACCAGCCAUAAAGUGGGUCUAUUCUUAUAAUUUAUGACAACAUGGAACACUAUCAUUGGGCCACGAUGCAAGGAGCGAAGGACGAUGCGAGAAGGUGCUUUACUGAUUUGAUGAACGUGGAGGUGAUUCUGAAUGAUACGAGAUCUCUAAGCUGAAUAUAUAAUAGUAUAGUUUUUCGUAAUUUUUUUUUGUUAAAUUUUUUAUCGCUGCUAAAGAUUAAAUGGCGAGUAAAACUAUACUAUUAUACUUUCAAAGAUCACCCGAGAAAAUGAUGACUGCACAUACUUUCAAUAUCCCAUAGAUGACAUAUCUGUUUUAUUUCCAUCAAGCUAUUCAUCGAAACAAAAGCACAUGACGAUUAUGGGAGAGAAACACUACUCUAAAAUCCCGUAAUAAGCUGCACCACCUAAUUUUUUGUGCCUUGACCAAAAAAAAUUCAAUGUUGCAGUUCAACGAACCUUCUUACGGAGGAUCUUUAAACAAAAUUUAUUUGGUACAUAGAGAAAAAUAUUUUAAUAUAUACUAAUUUAAUGCCUCGCGAUCAACGAGUAGAGAAAAAAUAUGUCGCGUGUAUCUUCUUCCAUUGGUCAAUAAAUACCAAUGCAAUGUUUACUACACAAAUCAUUACUUCAGUCUCACUCUCAGGUCAGCUCUCUCCACAUCUCUCUCAUAUGAUUGUACUAUGUAUAAGAUUUGGUAAUAUUUGUAAUUACAAGUAAAAUUCGUAAAUACAGAUAAUAUUCGUAAGAGGUUGAUCAAACGAAAGCAAAAGAGAUGGCCCAAAAGGUUGAAGCACAAGGAGGAAAUGGCGGUAACCAAUGGGAUGAUGGAUCCGAAUACGACGCUGUGACCAAGAUUCAAGUCGCAGCAGGCGGGAACGGAAUUGAAUAUGUUAAGUUCACAUACGUCAAGAACGGACAAACCGAAGAAGCCCCUCUACGCGGUGUCAAGGGCCGUAGUUUCGAAGCAGAUCCGGUUCCUAUACACUAUCCUUGCCUAUCUCUUCAUUUUUAUCUAUAAGGACAUUGACGUGAAUUAAUAUAUAUAUAUAUAUAGGUUAUAUAUUGUCAAGGGUUUGUUUUGAUAAUGUUCUUUUUAAGAAAUUGACAUUUUGAUCUUGAUCUCUACAGUUUGUGAUAAACCAUCCGGAGGAGCACUUAGUUUCUGUAGAAGGUCGGUAUAACCCUGAAGGACUUAUUCUAGGGCUAACGUUCAAAUCCAACAAGAAGACUUCUGAUCUCAUUGGAUAUGAAGAUGGUACACCGUUCACUCUCCAAGUUCAAGACAAGAAGAUCGUUGGAUUUUAUGGCUUCGCUGGAAACAAUCUCCAUUCUCUUGGAGCGUACUUUGCUCCGUUGACUAAUGUAACCCCCUUGAAUGCCAAAAAGCUAGAAGCAAAGGGUGGUGACACGGGAGAUAUAUGGGAUGAUGGUGUUUACGAUAAUGUUAGAAAGGUAUAUGUAGGGCAAGCCCAAUAUGGUAUAGCCUUCGUCAAGUUUGAGUAUGUCAAUGGUUCUCAAGUGGUUGUUGGAGAUGAACAUGGAAAGAAGACAGAGCUAGGAGUUGAAGAGGUACAAAAAUAGAUAAUUCUAUGUUGUGAUUCGUCAAAAGGAUAUAUAUAUAUAUAUAUUUAUAUGGGUAACCUCACUCAAAAUUAUUUGGUUUCUUUGCAGUUUGAGAUUGAUGCGGAUGACUACAUCGUAUACGUGGAAGGAUACCGUGAGAAAGUUAAUGGUAUGACCUCAGAGAUGAUCACUUUUCUUUCAUUCAAGACUUAUAAAGGCAAAACCUCUCAGCCUAUCGAACAAAGACCUGGUAUUAAGUUUGUGCUACAAGGUGGAAAAAUUGUUGGGUUUCACGGACGUUCGACCGACGUUCUAGACUCCCUCGGGGCUUAUAUUUCAUUGUCGCCCACUCCAAACUUGCAUGGAAAGUGGACAAAGGUAGUAAUCUUUUAUAUAUCACCAUGGGAGCUAGUUCACUAAGCAGACUCUAUAUUAUAAAAAAUCCUAACUAACAAGUAUUAUUAAUUAAUUAUAAGGUGGAUGAAAAUGGAGAUGGUCCAGGGCUAAGAUGCUCGCAUGACAUAGCACAGGUAGGAAACAAGAUUUACUCUUUUGGUGGUGAGUUCACACCAAAUCAGCCCAUCGACAAACACCUUUACGUCUUUGACAUCGAGAGCCGGACUUGGUCCAUUUCUCCAGCCACGGGAGACAUUCCAACCCUCUCUUGCCUAGGUGUCUGUAUGGUGUCAAUAGGAUCGACCCUCUAUGUCUUUGGAGGCCGAGACGCUUCACGUCAAUACAACGGUUUCUACUCGUUUGACACGACCACAAACGAGUGGAAACUGCUAACUCCGGUCGAAGAAGGACCCACUCCUCGUAGUUUCCACUCAAUGGCAG